AAACCCCAAGUCAGGUGGGA
rnacentral:rRNA from 1 species